rnacentral:rRNA from 1 species
UAGGGAAUCUUCCACAAUGGACGCAAGUCUGAUGGAGCAACGCCGCGUGAGUGAAGAAGGUUUUCGGAUCGUAAAGCUCUGUUGUUGGUGAAGAAGGAUAGAGGUAGUAACUGGCCUUUAUUUGACGGUAAUCAACCAGAAAGUCACGGCUAACUACGUGCCAGCAGCCGCGGUAAUACGUAGGUGGCAAGCGUUGUCCGGAUUUAUUGGGCGUAAAGCGAGCGCAGGCGGAAGAAUAAGUCUGAUGUGAAAGCCCUCGGCUUAACCGAGGAACGGCAUCGGAAACUGUUUUUCUUGAGUGCAGAAGAGGAGAGUGGAACUCCAUGUGUAGCGGUGGAAUGCGUAGAUAUAUGGAAGAACACCAGUGGCGAAGGCGACUCUCUGGUCUGCAACUGACGCUGAGGCUCGAAAGCAUGGGUAGCGAACAGG